CUGUUGUACAGAUCUUUUCUGGACAGGAUAGCAUCAGGGCAGGUGGUCAGAACAACUGGUAUGGGCGAGCUGGUCCAAACUGCCAGCAGUCCACCACUACUACUGUAAUAAGGGGGCCCAGAGGGGGUGGGCUGAUGUAAGGAGAUAGUUGACAAGGCAAGACCUCAUUCCCAUGCCAUCCCUAAGUCCUGGUUUUUGCAUAGUUUUAAAAUUUGAAUAGUUUAAUUACUUUUCUAUUUAUUUUUUUAUAAUCUGUAAACUGUUCAAAGUUGCCUUAUGGGGAAGAUGGGCAGCAAGGACCACCCUCUCCUGAUCCGAGCAUGGAGUGGAGAGAAGGUGAGAAC